rnacentral:rRNA from 1 species
AUGUACUCGUCACAAUCGGUGAGUCGCAUCAACAACAUUCGCACCUCUCUCAUCAAUGCGCAGAAGGGCAACCUCUCCGUCGCCUCCUACUUCGCCACCAUGCGUGGCUACGCCGAUGAGCUGGCCGCGGCGGGCAAGGCGAUCCUCGACGACGAGCUCAUCUCCUACAUCAUCCACGGGCUCGAUGCUGACUACCAGCCUCUGAUCUCUGCUCUGGAUGCUCGCGUCACUCCCGUCACCAUCGACGAGCUCUUCGCCAUGCUGUCAAACUUUGAUCAGCGGAUGGUGCACUUCCAUGGCUCCAGCGGCAGCGGCUUCAAGUCCUCGGCGAACUCGGCCUCUCGUGGCCGGGGUGGAUCCUCUCGGCGCGGCGGCUUCUCCCGUGGGAGGGGGAGGUCCAGUGGAGGAGGCAAUGGCGGCGGCUCCAACUCUCGCAAUGGCGGGCGUGCUCCUGCCAACAACAGAACUCGCCGCGGUGGUGGCAACCCUCGCGCCCGACCUGAUGCUCCUCGUUGCCAGAUAUGUGGCAAGUUGGGCACACAACAAAAGAUUGCUGGUACCGCUACGAAGAGGAAGAAGAUUCCUCUCAAGAUGAUGACAAGGUGGUGGCGGCUGCAGAUGGCUCCUACGGCGUCGACACCAACUGGUACGUCGACAGCGGCGCCACCAACCACAUCACCAACGAGCUCGAGAAGGUGA